rnacentral:rRNA from 1 species
ACACGUGGGCAAUCUGCCCUUCACUCUGGGACAAGCCCUGGAAACGGGGUCUAAUACCGGAUACUGACCCUCGCAGGCAUCUGCGAGGUUCGAAAGCUCCGGCGGUGAAGGAUGAGCCCGCGGCCUAUCAGCUUGUUGGUGAGGUAAUGGCUCACCAAGGCGACGACGGGUAGCCGGCCUGAGAGGGCGACCGGCCACACUGGGACUGAGACACGGCCCAGACUCCUACGGGAGGCAGCAGUGGGGAAUGUUGCACAAUGGGCGAAAGCC